CAGCUGACUACUUUUUUUUUUUUUUUUAAUCAAUCGGUAAGGAUUUCAUUCAACUCAAAAAAUACCACAAGGCCCAAGGACCUGAUCCAUGGAAGCUACUAAAAGAAGAUUUUGUAGCUGUCCUAAAACACUACUGACUCCAAAUAGCUAGCCCAGCCAAACCAAUGAAAAUAACUAAUAGGGAACCAUAACUAAGGAUUCCAUAGUACACAAAAUAUUCUCUAUACACAAUACCACCAGCAACAAUUUGGGUAGAAGACAAUUUGGUAGGCCAGAUGGAAAACUCGAGUCCCACUAUUUCACCCCUAUUUUCUCUUGUCAACUAAACAAUGGAGAAAUAAGUAUUUGAGCACAAUCAAAUCUAACUUGAUUAAGAUUUAGUCAGUUGUAGGCCACUAAGAAUUAAGUCCAAAUUAAAGUGAUUAACCAAUUAACAUAAGAAUACAUAAAUCAAAACUAAGCAUGGAUAAGCAAAUAAAAUGAAUAGCCCACAGAAAUCAAAACUACAAUAACACAGCCAUAACACAUGGAUGUGCUAUUGAAGAGGAAAACUCAAGAAUUGGACGGAAAAACCCCUUUGUGGUCUUACUGCCGAAACCAAUCUACUAGAAUAGAUAGUUGCAGUGCAUAAUAUCUAUGUACUCAAGCCCUCUAAGCUUUUGCUUGCAGCCGACUUCGCAAUUCCUUUCUCUACUCUACCAUCUGGAUUUGUGACUGAGCUCUAAUUGCAACUUCAAGCCACCAUGGCUAAUUUUGGGUUGCUCCAAUGAUUCCUAAGGCACUAAUCAACACUCACAAAUCUUGAGAUAAUGAAGAAUAUGAUGGUAUCAAUCUCCACAGAAUUCACCAAUUUGCAGUUGCUUCCUGGGAUUCAAGCCAAAGAAUAUCAAAGAAUGGAAUUGAGGCAAUUGGACUAGUAGAAGUGUUAGGAGGACUCCGUUGCAGUCUGAGAGGGUGAACAUUGGUGGUGAAGGAGACAAAAAAGAUGGGUUUUUGAAACUGAAGAUGAUGAAAGUGACAGACUUUGCAGAUUGGUCAACUGCUUUCCAAAACAAAUGCAGAGAGCAGUGCUUGGAGAAUUGUUCUUGUAUAGCAUAUGCAUAUGAAACUGGCAUUGGUUGUAUGUCUUGGAUUGAUAAACAAAUUGAUACAAAGCAAUUAUCCAGUUCUGGAGUUGAACUUUACAUUCAUUUGGCCUACUCAGAAUUUGAUAAAGUGGGAGAUGUGAAAAAAAAACUGUCACAAUCACUGAUUUACAGGAACAAUUUUCCUUUCCAUCUGGACUUAUUUACUGUGGAGGUGGAUGGCAAAGCAAAAAGAGAAGAAGCAUAACCAAAAUUUCUUAGUGACAACCUGGACCAAGUUAAAGCCCAGGACCUACCAUUAUUCAAUUUUGAGAAGCUAGCAAGUGCAACGAACAACUUCCAUCUAUCUAACAAGCUUGGGCAGGGUGGAUUUGGUCCCUUAUACAGGGUAAUGGUUGCCCUACUAGAUGUUUCUUGUCUAAUAAUUUGAAUGUCUAGUUAACCAUUAGAUGUUUGUUUAUAGGGAAAAUUGUCAUAUGGACAAGAGAUUGUAGUAAAAAGACUUUCUAAAACUUCUGGACAAGGGUAACAAGAAUUUAUGAAUGGUGUGGAGUUAAUUUUAAACUUCAACAUUGGAAUCUUGUUAGGCUCCUUGGUUGCAGUGUUGAAGGAGAAGAAAAGAUGUUGAUCUAUGAAUUCAUGUUGAACAAAACUCUAGAUGCACUCCUCUUUGGUAAGUUAAUUUUGAUGCCCUUUCUUAUAAUACAUUUGCGUUAUAGGUAAAUUUUCUGCUUAUAAAUAUCAGUGUAUGAGUAGUGAUUGUUGCACACACUGUGUACGUACACACCGUGGGCAACAGGAAUUACUGUUAUAGUAUUAUGAGACAUUUGAGUUUUUUUCUUUUGUCAUACUUCAAUUGAAACAGACUUUUCCAAUUCUCUUAUAACUUCACCCCUAGAACUUCUUUUUCAAAUUUUAUGUUCUUUCACCUUGUGAGUUUCUCAUAAUGAUUUUGUUUUAAUUCAUUAGAUCCUCACAAGGGAAAACUAUUAGAUUGGAGAAAACGUUUCAACAUUAUUGAAGGAAUUGGUCGAGGUCUACUUUACCUUCAUAGGGAUUCUAGAUUAAGGAUUAUUAAUAGAGAUUUAAAGGCAAGUUACAUCUUAAUGGAUAAAGAGCUAAAUCCAAAAAUAUUAGAUUUGGAAUUGCCAAAUUUUUUGGAAAUAAUGAAGACUAGUCCAAUACUAAUAGGGUUGUUGGAACGUAGUAAGUACCUUUCAUUUUGGUCAAUUCAACUGGAAACGAGUACUAAUAAGUGGAAGAAGAAACUCUAGGUUUUAUGGUCAAGAGCAGUCCAUGAGCCUUUUAGGAUUUGACAAUUUGUAAGUCAUCCUUAUCUCAUGAGCCUUUCAAUUUUAUUCAAGUAUAAUUGUCAAUUUGUAUGAUAUUUUAUCAUUUCCUCUCUUCCCAUUUUAAUUUUUAUGACAUCCAAAAAGGGAGGGAUAUUCUCCAAUUUCUUUAUUUUUAAGGAGGUCAAAACAAGAGAAAUGGGGAUAAGUAUUUUCCUCCUCUUUCCUCUCUUUUCAUAUGAUAAUCUCUAAUCUUCUCUCCUUCCAAACUUCCAAACAUAUUGUCAAUGGAAUCGUGCAUUGACCUACAAUGAGAUUGCAUCGAAUCUGGUACUACAUUUUGCUUCUUUGAACUGAUUUCUUUCUUUCAUUCACCUUCUUAAUUGGGUUUGUUUCCUUUUCUCUUGACUACUGGGAAUAUUUGGUUCACAAAACAUGCACUCUUUUUGCUCAUCACGACUUAUAUUUUCUUGGAUAAAAAAACAUGCAAGGGAAUUUUUCCACUUAGAUAUCCGUACAGUUCUUGCUCCAAAAAUAUCAGUUUUGAUAGCCUGGUCCCCUCUUCCGGUCAUCUAGCAAAGCUUAACAUGGUACCUGCAAGGGAAACCCAGUCAGGGCCUUCAGGACCACCAUGGAAACUGGUUGACAGGUUUUUCCUUAAAAUUGGGUAAUACUUACAAAGUGUUACAGCAGAGUUUUGUGCAUCAAGGAAAGGAGUAUAACACUGUAACUGGCUUGGCAGGUGUAUUUAGACAUUUUUUGUUUGAAACAAAUUGAGUUCUGGUUUUUUCUCCAUGAUUUUCUGUGUAAGUGUCUGAUUCUAGGAAGAUUUUGUGCCUGGACUAGAGGGUUGAGCAAUCUCAUAUGAUAUCUACUAGUAAGCUAAUGGAUGCACAGAUUUUUUUGGCUACGAAGAGUGGGGAACACCGGAACAAGAUGAAAUCCAAGUGCUUGUAUUUUGUUUUCCCUAGUUUGUUUGUACUGCACAGAGGAUUUCUUGUAUUCCUCUUUUGUGGGAUGCAUUGAGCUUGCCCCACCUUAUGCUGUAGCAUGUAUGUAAGCUAAUAAAUGUAAUUAAUGGGGAAAAAAUGUAAACCCGAGAUGGAAGAUAUCAUGAUUGUUAAACAGAACUUGGAUC